rnacentral:rRNA from 1 species
AACGAACGCUGGCGGCAGGCUUAACACAUGCAAGUCGAGCGCCCCGCAAGGGGAGCGGCAGACGGGUGAGUAACGCGUGGGAAUCUACCGUACCCUACGGAAUAGCUCCGGGAAACUGGAAUUAAUACCGUAUACGCCCUACGGGGGAAAGAUUUAUCGGGGUAUGAUGAGCCCGCGUUGGAUUAGCUAGUUGGUGGGGUAAAGGCCUACCAAGGCGACGAUCCAUAGCUGGUCUGAGAGGAUGAUCAGCCACAUUGGGACUGAGACACGGCCCAAACUCCUACGGGAGGCAGCAGUGGGGAAUAUUGGACAAUGGGCGCAAGCCUGAUCCAGCCAUGCCGCGUGAGUGAUGAAGGUCUUAGGAUUGUAAAGCUCUUUCACCGAUGAAGAUAAUGACGGUAGUCGGAGAAGAAGCCCCGGCUAACUUCGUGCCAGCCGCCGCAGUAACAC